UACGUAGGCAGCAAGCGUUGUUCGGAAUUACUGGGCGUAAAGCGAGUGUAGGCGGUUCGAUAAGUUUGGUGUGAAAUCUCCCGGCUCAACUGGGAGGGUGCGCCGAAGACUGUCGAGCUAGAGUGUGGGAGAGGUAGGCGGAAUUCCUGGUGUAGCGGUGAAAUGCGUAGGAUAUCAGGAGGAACACCUGCGGUGUAGACGGCUUACUGGACCACGACUGACGCUGCGAACUCGAAAGCAUGGGGAGCGAACAGG
rnacentral:rRNA from 1 species